rfam:Loxodonta africana unplaced genomic scaffold scaffold_12, whole genome shotgun sequence.
CCCUUGGUGGUGCAAAUGGUUAAUGCAUUCAGCUGCUAACUGAAAGGUUGGAGGUUCAAGUCCACUCAGAGGCA